UACGUAGGGUGCGAGCGUUAAUCGGAAUUACUGGGCGUAAAGCGUGCGCAGGCGGUUCGUUAAGUCUGAUGUGAAAGCCCCGGGCUCAACUUGGGAAUGGCAUUGGAAACUGGCGGGCUAGAGUGUGGCAGAGGGGGGUGGAAUUCCGCGUGUAGCAGUGAAAUGCGUAGAGAUGCGGAGGAACACCGAUGGCGAAGGCAGCCCCCUGGGCUGACACUGACGCUCAGGCACGAAAGCGUGGGGAGCAAACAGG
rnacentral:rRNA from 1 species